CUCAGUUAGGACCCAGAGGGAACCAUGGAAACCCCAGCGCAGCUUCUCUUCCUCCUGCUACUCUGGCUCCCAGAUACCACCGGAGAAAUUGUGUUGACGCAGUCUCCAGGCACCCUGUCUUUGUCUCCAGGGGAAAGAGCCACCCUCUCCUGCAGGGCCAGUCAGAGUGUUAGCAGCAGCUACUUAGCCUGGUACCAGCAGAAACCUGGCCAGGCUCCCAGGCUCCUCAUCUAUGGUGCAUCCAGCAGGGCCACUGGCAUCCCAGACAGGUUCAGUGGCAGUGGGUCUGGGACAGACUUCACUCUCACCAUCAGCAGACUGGAGCCUGAAGAUUUUGCAGUGUAUUACUGUCAGCAGUAUGGUAGCUCACCUCCCACAGUGAUUCAGCUUGAAACAAAAACCUCUGCAAGACCUUCAUUGAACUGUGGCUGCACCAUCUGUCUUCAUCUUCCCGCCAUCUGAUGAGCAGUUGAAAUCUGGAACUGCCUCUGUUGUGUGCCUGCUGAAUAACUUCUAUCCCAGAGAGGCCAAAGUACAGUGGAAGGUGGAUAACGCCCUCCAAUCGGGUAACUCCCAGGAGAGUGUCACAGAGCAGGACAGCAAGGACAGCACCUACAGCCUCAGCAGCACCCUGACGCUGAGCAAAGCAGACUACGAGAAACACAAAGUCUACGCCUGCGAAGUCACCCAUCAGGGCCUGAGCUCGCCCGUCACAAAGAGCUUCAACAGGGGAGAGUGUUAGAGGGAGAAGUGCCCCCACCUGCUCCUCAGUUCCAGCCUGACCCCCUCCCAUCCUUUGGCCUCUGACCCUUUUUCCACAGGGGACCUACCCCUAUUGCGGUCCUCCAGCUCAUCUUUCACCUCACCCCCCUCCUCCUCCUUGGCUUUAAUUAUGCUAAUGUUGGAGGAGAAUGAAUAAAUAAAGUGAAUCUUUGC
rnacentral:lncRNA from 1 species